GAGGGUAUAGUUCAAGCGGUAGAGCACAUGCUUAGCAUGCAUGAGGUCCUGGGUUCAAUCCCUAGUACCUCCA
rnacentral:tRNA from 1 species